GUGUGCAGGACCUCCUUCCCUUCAUCCCCCUUGAAGCACUGCCCCACGAAGACAGCUGUGGAGUCUAAAGCAGUGGUGGCUGUCAGCAUCCCAACAGGACCCCAGCUGAUUCUGGAGCUUCACAGGCAUCAGUGAGUCUAGUGCUCAUGGAGCCUGAGUGGAUCCCGAUAUUUGCAGGAAAAUGGUGUGUGGCAGAGGUGUCAAAGCAACCCUUGGUGCUGCCACACCCAGACCUUGUUUUGGGAGGUGUACUGCUGUGUGCAGACACCAUCCAGAGUGGGGAGAGAUCAGGGAAGGAGGGACAGAGGACAGCAGAGAGAACAGAGGAAUUGGGAUGAGCACUGGGACCUGCCUGAGCUCCCUCUCCAUCCCACCACUCCAUCCAACAACAGCAAUCAUGCAGCUACAGACCUGAGAACUUCUUCCAGUUGACAGUGAAGCCAAAGGUGCACUGUCCAUCCUCAUCCAGGUGCUGGGAGCCAGUCAGUGGGGACGCCUGGAUGGGUUUCUUGGCGUUUGACACAGCAGUGUGGUACUCCCCAGAGAAGGUUCCGUCGUUGCCGACCUUGAACACUUGCAUCUUGGAGCCCAGAUCGUUCUCCCACCAGCCAGUCAGGUUGCACGGCUGGGGAUAAGCAGAUGUGUCCCUGGGGGCUGCCUGUACACAGCCCUUACAGGCUGAGCCCCCUGCCCACAGCCCCCGCUGCCCACGGGGUGCUGGCACUCACCUUGGUGUGCCUUCUGCUUUUCCCCAGGUAGCUGAAGAUUGCCUUUUCCUCUUUCUCACCGGCCUUUUCCUCCCCAGGGUGCUCAAUUCCCUGGCAGAGGAUCUUGGAAAAGAACACAAACAGCUACAUCAAGAGGGCCAAAAGCUGGGGCAAGCCAAGCAAAAGGGGAGAGGUGAAGAGGAAAAGUGAAAGGUGGGAGCCCUGGAAGGCAGGAACAUGGAUGGGACCCCUGCUGUAGCCCUGUCAGGAGCUCCCACCUGGAAGCCUGCCGCAGCCGCGGCCACGGACACCCCUGCAGGCAGGGCGAGAAG